UACAGAGGUCCCAAGCGUUGUUCGGAUUCACUGGGCGUAAAGGGUGCGUAGGUGGCCAGGUAAGUUCGGUGUGAAAGCUCGGAGCUUAACUCCGAAAUGGCAUUGAAUACUAUCUGGCUAGAGGGUCGGAGGGGAGACUGGAAUUCUCGGUGUAGCAGUGAAAUGCGUAGAUAUCGAGAGGAACACCAGUGGCGAAGGCGAGUCUCUGGACGACACCUGACACUGAGCACGAAAGCCAGGGGAGCAAACAGG
rnacentral:rRNA from 1 species